UCUUUCGUGGAGGGAAAAAGAAAUGAAUUUGAAGAAUGAUAUAACUGAUGUUUUUCGGCGAUCUUCCACCAUUGCUGAUUCCAGAAUAGCCUGGUUAGAAAAGGAGAUGCAGAAACACAUGCAAGAAAGAAAUAUGAUUGAGGGCAAGCUGGAAGAAGCAUCAAGAGAACCUGGUAGGAAAGAAAUUAUUGCUGAAUUUAAGAAAUUGGUUUCUUCAUUCCCUGAAACCAUGGGCGAUAUGCAGAAUCAGCUAAGUAAUUAUAAGGAGACUGCUUCAGAUGUUCAUUCACUACGAACUGAUGUUCAGUCACUUUCCAGUAUUCUUGACCGGAAGUCAAAAGAGAUAGAAGCAUUGUCUGCCAAGUCAGCUUCCCAGGUGACUGAAAUGCUGAAGUUGCAAGCUGUGGUUAAUGAUUUGAAAGAGAGUGAUAUGCAUUUAAAGCUCAUUUUGGAAAUGUAUACGCGUGAAUCUGCUUUCUCAAGGGAUGUUUUUGAGGCUCGGAGUUCCGAGUACAGAGCUUGGGCACGUGUUCAGAGUCUGAAGACUUCUCUUGAUGAACACAAUUUGGAAGUGAGAGUGAAAUCUGCUAUUGAAGCCGAGGCUGACUCCCAGCAGAAGCUAGGUGCUGCAGAAGCUGAGAUUGCUGAGCUGAGACAGAAGUUAGAUGCUUCUAAAAGGGAACGGUCUAGACUCUCGGAAGUCUUGAAGUCUAAGCAUGAAGAAACCGAGGCCUACCUCUCUGAGAUUGAGACAAUUGGGCAGGCCUACGAUGAUAUGCAAGCUCAAAAUCAGCAGCUUUUCCAGCAAAUCACAGAGAGAGAUGAUUACAAUAUAAAGCUUGUUUUAGAAGGAGUACGGGCAAGACAACAGCGGGAUUGUUUGGCUUGGGAAAGUCAAAUCACAGAGAGAGCAGUUGAAGAUGCCAAUACAAUGGUCAGUUCCUAUGAAAUGAAAGCUGCCAAAAUUGAUGACCAGUUGAGGGGAUGCUCAGACUUGAUCCAGAAGCUUGCUGAAGAUAGGGGUCAGAAUUCUCUUGCUUUAGAGAACACCCAAAAACGGUUUUUAGAUGUAAGAAAAUCUUCCCAGCAAUUGCGGGAGACGCUGGAAGAAUGGCAAUCCAAGAUCGACGAAGUUCGAGUUGAUCUUGCACAGUUGCAGAUAGAACUAGAGAAAGAAAGGUUUGAGAGAAAAAGAGCAGAGGAGGAUGUAGAAGCUCUGAGGAGAAAGACUUCACGUUUGAGAUCACACAUUGAAGGGUCAUCUGUUAUUGAGAAGCUUCAGCAAAAACUAAGGGAAUACAAGGAAAUACUCAAUUGUAGUAUUUGCUUUGAUAGGCGCAAAGAGGUUGUCCUCGCAAAAUGUUACCAUCUCUUUUGUAAUCCGUGUAUCCAAAAAAUUGUGGAGACUCGUCACCGCAAAUGUCCUGUCUGCUCUGCAAGCUUUGGAGCAAAUGAUGUCAAGGCCGUUUAUAUCUGAUCAGAAACAUGAGGAUGUCUAGGCCUUUUAUUAUGUCACUGUUGUGAAGCAAGGUUGUCGUUCACUUAUGGUCUAUGCAUAUAUUUAUGCAGGAAAUAACAUAAAACAGAAAAAAAUUCUGGUGGUUGAAAGUGGAUAGUCUGCAUGGAUUUGCUGGUGCUAGUCCAAAGGUUAAUGAUUUUGUUAAUCUUUUGCUGGUGCG
rnacentral:misc_RNA from 1 species